ensembl:snRNA U6 U6 spliceosomal RNA
GUGCUUGCUUCGGCAGCACAUACACUAGAAUUGGAAUAAAUGAAAGAUUAGCAUGGCCCCCAUGCAAGGAUAACAUGCAAAUUCAUGAAGUGAUUUAAAUUUAA